CCUGUCCCUGGAAGCCUUGCAGGUGUGGCUGCUAUGUCACACAUGCAUCAUAAGUGGCAGAGAGGAGAGAGGUCAUGUCUAUGCUCAGCAUCUGAUCUAUGAACAGCUGAAUGAUUAGUACCCUAACAUA